rnacentral:rRNA from 1 species
GAUGAACGCUGACAGAAUGCUUAACACAUGCAAGUCUACUUGAAUUUGGGUUUUUUAACUUAGAUUAGGGUGGCGGACGGGUGAGUAACGCGUAAAGAACUUGCCUCACAGUUAGGGACAACAUUUGGAAACGAAUGCUAAAACCUGAUAUUAUGAAUAUAUGGCAUCAUAUAAUUAUGAAAGCUAUAAGCGCUGUGAGAGAGCUUUGCGUCCCAUUAGCUAGUUGGAGAGGUAACGGCUCACCAAGGCGAUGAUGGGUAGCCGGCCUGAGAGGGUGAACGGCCACAAGGGGACUGAGACACGGCCCUUACUCCUACGGGAGGCAGGGGUGGGGAAUAGUGGACAAUGGACCAAGAGUCUGAUCCAGCAAUUCUGUGUGCACGAUGACGUUUUUCGGAAUGUAAAGUGCUUUCAGUUGGGAAGAAAAAAAUGACGGUACCAACAGAAGAAGUGACGGCUAAAUACGUG